rnacentral:misc_RNA from 1 species
GAUGAGGCGUAAAUCAUGCAUGAAUGCUACACAUUCCAAGAGUUGUCUGCCAAGCUCACGGACAAGAUCAACCGGAAAUGGGCGAUAAUUAUUUUUCCGAAGAAAAUCAUACAAGCUUGGUCCAAGCAUCUCAAAUACAAUACAGAUAUGAUUACGAUAAUCAAACCAGUUUCGUAUUUGAACACAACGACUGCCAUUUCUG